rnacentral:rRNA from 1 species
GACAGAGGGGGCAAGCGUUGCUCGGAAUUACUGGGCGUAAAGGGCGCGUAGGCGGGCUGGCAAGUCGGUCGUGAAAUCCCUCGGCUCAACCGAGGAACGUCGAUCGAUACUGCUGUUCUUGAGGAUUGCAGAGGAGACUGGAAUUCCCGGUGUAGCGGUGAAAUGUGUAGAGAUCGGCAGGAACACCCAGGGGGAAACCAGUGGACUGGGCAUGUGCUGACGCUCAGGUGCGAAAGCGUGGGGAGCGAACCGG